rnacentral:rRNA from 1 species
CCUACGGGUGGCAGCAGUGAGGAAUAUUGGUCAAUGGGCGCGAGCCUGAACCAGCCAAGUCGCGUGAGGGAAGACGGUCCUAUGGAUUGUAAACCUCUUUUGUCGGGGAGCAAAAGACGCCACGCGUGGCGUUCCGAGAGUACCCGAAGAACAAGCAUCGGCUAACUCCGUGCCAGCAGCCGCGGUAAUACGGAGGAUGCGAGCGUUAUCCGGAUUUAUUGGGUUAAAAGGGUGCGCAGGCGGAAGAUCAAGUCAGCGGUAAAAUUGAGAGGCUCAACCUCUUCGAGCCGUUGAAACUGGUGUUCUUGAGUGAGUGAGAAGUAUGCGGAAUGCGUGGUGUAGCGGUGAAAUGCAUAGAUAUCACGCAGAACUCCGAUUGCGAAGGCAGCAUACCGGCGCUCAACUGACGCUCAUGCACGAAAGUGUGGGUAUCGAACAGGAUUAGAUACCCUAGUAGUC